GACCUCGGAUCAGGUAGGGAUACCCGCUGAACUUAAGCU
rnacentral:rRNA from 1 species